rnacentral:rRNA from 1 species
UCAGAACGAACGCUGGCGGCGUGCUCAACACAUGCAAGUCGAACGCGAAAGGGACUUCGGUCCUGAGUAAAGUGGCGCACGGGUGAGUAACGCGUAGAUAACCUGUCUUCAUGUCUGGAAUAAUACGCCGAAAGGGGUACUAAUACCGGAUAUUCUUGCUUUUCAUAAGUUAUGCAAGCAAAGGUGGCCUCUGCAUAUGCUACUGCAUGAAGAGGGGUCUGCGUACCAUUAGCUAGUAGGUGGGGUAAUGGCCUACCUAGGCGACGAUGGUUAGCGGGUCUGAGAGGAUGAUCCGCCACACUGGCACUGGAACACGGGCCAGACUCCUACGGGAGGCAGCAGUGAGGGAUAUUGCGCAAUGGGGGAAACCCUGACGCAGCGACGCCGCGUGAGUGAGGAAGGCCUUCGGGUCGUAAAGCCCUGUCAAGAGGAAAGAAGUGUACAAUGGCUAAUACCUGUUGUAUUUGACGGUACCUCUAAAGGAAGCACCGGCUAACUCCGUGCCAGCCGCCGC